rnacentral:rRNA from 1 species
GAUGAACGCUGGCGGCGUGCCUAAUACAUGCAAGUCGAGCGAACGGACGAGAAGCUUUCUUCUCUGCUGUUAGCGGCUGACGGGUGAGUAACACGUGGAUAACCUACCUCUUAUACUUGGAUAACUUCGUGAAACCGGAUCUAAUACCGGCUAAUAUUUUCAACCGCAUGGUUCAAAAGUUAAUGACGGUCUUGCUGUCUCUUAUAGAUGGUUCCGCGCUGCAUUAGCUAGUUGGUAAGGUAACGGCUUACCAAGGCAACGAUGCAUAGCCGACCUGAGAGGAUGAUCGGCCACACUGGAACUGAGACACGGUCCAGACUCCUACGGGAGGCAGCAGUAGGGAAUAUUCGGCAAUGGGCGAAAGCCUGACGGAGCAACGCCGCGUGAGUGAUGAAGGUCUUCGGAUCGUAAAACUCUGUUAUUAGGGAAGAACAUAUGUGUAAGUAACUGUGCACAUCUUGACGGUACCUAAUCAGAAAGCAACGGCUAACUACGUG